rnacentral:rRNA from 1 species
UUUGAUCAUGGCUCAGGACGAGCGCUGGCGGCGUGUCUAAUACAUGCAAGUCGAGCGAACAGACCUCAGAAAGCUUGCUUUCAGAGGCGAGUUAGCGGCGAACGGGUGAGUAACGCGUAAACAAUCUGCCUUCGGGUCCGGGAUAACAUCGGGAAACUGGUGCUAACACUGGAUAUUAUGACCAUGUUGCAUGACGAGGUCAUGAAACGGGGCUUCGGCUAGGCCUGAAGAUGAGUUUGCGUCCCAUUAGCUAGUUGGUGUGGUAACGGCGCACCAAGGCGACGAUGGGUAGCCGGCCUGAGAGGGUGAUCGGCCACAUUGGAACUGAGACACGGCCCAGACUCCUACGGGAGGCAGCAGUAGGGAAUAUUGCGCAAUGGGCGUUGAGCCUGACGCAGCGACGCCGCGUGAGUGAUGAAGGCCUUCGGGUCGUAAAGCUCUGUCAGCAGGGAAGAAGGUAGAGUAUGUGAAUAAUGUGCUUUGCUUGACGGUACCUGCAGAGGAAGCCCCGGCUAAUUACGUGCCAGCAGCCGCGGUAA